rnacentral:rRNA from 1 species
CAUAGGUUAAUGAGGCGAACCGGGGGAACUGAAACAUCUAAGUACCCCGAGGAAAAGAAAUCAACCGAGAUUCCCCCAGUAGCGGCGAGCGAACGGGGAGCAGCCCAGAGCCUGAAUCAGUGUGUGUGUUAGUGGAAGCGUCUGGAAAGGCGCGCGAUACAGGGUGACAGCCCCGUACACAAAAAUGCACAUGCUGUGAGCUCGAUGAGUAGGGCGGGACACGUGGUAUCCUGUCUGAAUAUGGGGGGACCAUCCUCCAAGGCUAAAUACUCCUGACUGACCGAUAGUGAACCAGUACCGUGAGGGAAAGGCGAAAAGAACCCCGGCGAGGGGAGUGAAAAAGAACCUGAAACCGUGUACGUACAAGCAGUGGGAGCACGCUUCGGCGUGUGACUGCGUACCUUUUGUAUAAUGGGUCAGCGACUUAUAUUCUGUAGCAAGGUUAACCGAAUAGGGGAGCCGAAGGGAAACCGAGUCUUAACUGGGCGUUAAGUUGCAGGGUAUAGACCCGAAACCCGGUGAUCUAGCCAUGGGCAGGUUGAAGGUUGGGUAACACUAACUGGAGGACCGAACCGACUAAUGUUGAAAAAUUAGCGGAUGACUUGUGGCUGGGGGUGAAAGGCCAAUCAAACCGGGAGAUAGCUGGUUCUCCCCGAAAGCUAUUUAGGUAGCGCCUCGUGAAUUCAUCUCCGGGGGUAGAGCACUGUUUCGGCAAGGGGGUCAUCCCGACUUACCAACCCGAUGCAAACUGCGAAUACCGGAGAAUGUUAUCACGGGAGACACACGGCGGGUGCUAACGUCCGUCGUGAAGAGGGAAACAACCCAGACCGCCAGCUAAGGUCCCAAAGUCAUGGUUAAGUGGGAAACGAUGUGGGAAGGCCCAGACAGCCAGGAUGUUGGCUUAGAAGCAGCCAUCAUUUAAAGAAAGCGUAAUAGCUCACUGGUCGAGUCGGCCUGCGCGGAAGAUGUAACGGGGCUAAACCAUGCACCGAAGCUGCGGCAGCGACGCUGAUGCGUUGUUGGGUA